AAUAGCUUUUAAUACAGUAUGUGUAGAAUUUCUAAUUAUUCUCUUUUUCUAGGAAUCAUUACCAAGAAAGUAAUUACUUAGAUAUUGAUGCAGAUGGGAGAAAAAAGACACUGGAGAUAUCAGAUUCCUGCAGUGUUAAUGGGCACCAGCAGACUGAAAAUGGAAACACAGCAUCAAUAAAUGUACUGAUUAUAUGAAAAAAAUAUUUUUUUU
rnacentral:lncRNA from 1 species